rnacentral:rRNA from 1 species
CGUACACAAAAGCGCAUGUGCUGUGAGCUCGAUGAGUAGGGCGGGACACGUGGUAUCCUGUCUGAAUAUGGGGGGACCAUCCUCCAAGGCUAAAUACUCCUGACUGACCGAUAGUGAACCAGUACCGUGAGGGAAAGGCGAAAAGAACCCCGGCGAGGGGAGUGAAAAAGAACCUGAAACCGUGUACGUACAAGCAGUGGGAGCACAGGUUUACCUGUGUGACUGCGUACCUUUUGUAUAAUGGGUCAGCGACUUAUAUUCUGUAGCAAGGUUAACCGAAUAGGGGAGCCGGAGGGAAACCGAGUCUUAACCGGGCGUUAAGUUGCAGGGUAUAGACCCGAAACCCGGUGAUCUAGCCAUGGGCAGGUUGAAGGUUGGGUAACACUAACUGGAGGACCGAACCGACUAAUGUUGAAAAAUUAGCGGAUGACCUGUGGCUGGGGGUGAAAGGCCAAUCAAACCGGGAGAUAGCUGGUUCUCCCCGAAAGCUAUUUAGGUAGCGCCUCGUGAAUUCAUCUCCGGGGGUAGAGCACUGUUUCGGCUAGGGGGCCAUCCCGGCUUACCAACCCGAUGCAAACUGCGAAUACCGGAGAAUGUUAUCACGGGAGACACACGGCGGGUGCUAACGUCCGUCGUGAAGAGGGAAACAACCCAGACCGCCAGCUAAGGUCCCAAAGUCAUGGUUAAGUGGGAAACGAUGUGGGAAGGCCCAGACAGCCAGGAUGUUGGCUUAGAAGCAGCCAUCAUUUAAAGAAAGCGUAAUAGCUCACUGGUCGAGUCGGCCUGCGCGGAAGAUGUAACGGGGCUAAACCAUGCACCGAAGCUGCGGCAGCGACACUAUGUGUUGUUGGGUAGGGGAGCGUUCUGUAAGCCUGUGAAGGUGUGUCGUGAGGCAUGCUGGAGGUAUCAGAAGUGCGAAUGCUGACAUAAGUAACGAUAAAGCGGGUGAAAAGCCCGCUCGCCGGAAGACCAAGGGUUCCUGUCCAACGUUAAUCGGGGCAGGGUGAGUCGACCCCUAAGGCGAGGCCGAAAGGCGUAGUCGAUGGGAAACGGGUUAAUAUUCCCGUACUUGGUGUUACUGCGAAGGGGGGACGGAGAAGGCUAUGUUGGCCGGGCGACGGUUGUCCCGGUUUAAGCGUGUAGGCUGGUUUUCCAGGCAAAUCCGGAAAAUCAAGGCUGAGGCGUGAUGACGAGGCACUACGGUGCUGAAGCAACAAAUGCCCUGCUUCCAGGAAAAGCCUCUAAGCAUCAGGUAACAUCAAAUCGUACCCCAAACCGACACAGGUGGUCAGGUAGAGAAUACCAAGGCGCUUGAGAGAACUCGGGUGAAGGAACUAGGCAAAAUGGUGCCGUAACUUCGGGAGAAGGCACGCUGACACGUAGGUGAAGUGAUUUACUCAUGGAGCUGAAGUCAGUCGAAGAUACCAGCUGGCUGCAACUGUUUAUUAAAAACACAGCACUGUGCAAACACGAAAGUGGACGUAUACGGUGUGACGCCUGCCCGGUGCCGGAAGGUUAAUUGAUGGGGUCAGCGCAAGCGAAGCUCCUGAUCGAAGCCCCGGUAAACGGCGGCCGUAACUAUAACGGUCCUAAGGUAGCGAAAUUCCUUGUCGGGUAAGUUCCGACCUGCACGAAUGGCGUAAUGAUGGCCAGGCUGUCUCCACCCGAGACUCAGUGAAAUUGAACUCGCUGUGAAGAUGCAGUGUACCCGCGGCAAGACGGAAAGACCCCGUGAACCUUUACUAUAGCUUGACACUGAACAUUGAGCCUUGAUGUGUAGGAUAGGUGGGAGGCUUUGAAGUGUGGACGCCAGUCUGCAUGGAGCCGACCUUGAAAUACCACCCUUUAAUGUUUGAUGUUCUAACGUGGACCCGUAAUCCGGGUUGCGGACAGUGUCUGGUGGGUAGUUUGACUGGGGCGGUCUCCUCCUAAAGAGUAACGGAGGAGCACGAAGGUUGGCUAAUCCUGGUCGGACAUCAGGAGGUUAGUGCAAUGGCAUAAGCCAGCUUGACUGCGAGCGUGACGGCGCGAGCAGGUGCGAAAGCAGGUCAUAGUGAUCCGGUGGUUCUGAAUGGAAGGGCCAUCGCUCAACGGAUAAAAGGUACUCCGGGGAUAACAGGCUGAUACCGCCCAAGAGUUCAUAUCGACGGCGGUGUUUGGCACCUCGAUGUCGGCUCAUCACAUCCUGGGGCUGAAGUAGGUCCCAAGGGUAUGGCUGUUCGCCAUUUAAAGUGGUACGCGAGCUGGGUUUAGAACGUCGUGAGACAGUUCGGUCCCUAUCUGCCGUGGGCGCUGGAGAACUGAGGGGGGCUGCUCCUAGUACGAGAGGACCGGAGUGGACGCAUCACUGGUGUUCGGGUUGUCAUGCCAAUGGCACUGCCCGGUAGCUAAAUGCGGAAGAGAUAAGUGCUGAAAGCAUCUAAGCACGAAACUUGCCCCGAGAUGAGUUCUCCCUGAGACUUUAGGUCUCCUGAAGGAACGUUGAAGACGACGACGUUGAUAGGCCGGGUGUGUAAGCGCAGCGAUGCGUUGAGCUAACCGGUACUAAUGAACCGUGAGGCUUAACCUUACAACGCCGAAG